rnacentral:lncRNA from 1 species
AACAGCUACAUUGAUUGCAGUAGAUGCCACAACAGUUGAACCAGAUUGCACAUCAACAGCUACAUUUAUUGGAAAACCAGAAUGCACAUUUGUAGAGGUAUUAGGUCUCCUUUUCUUCAAAGAGGGGGGAAGACCCCAUCUUUUAUCAAUGUAGUACCAGGUGGAGGGUCUUGUGGCUGAUUGGAGCAGUUCCUCUUGUUGUGACCUUUUUUCCAACACUUGGUGCAAGUCACAGUCCCAUACCUCUUGAGCUUGGUACCAUUUGCAUCAACUCCCUUCUC